CAGCAGCCGCGGUAAUACGUAGGGGGCGAGCGUUGUCCGGAAUUAUUGGGCGUAAAGCGCGCGCAGGCGGUCCCUUAAGUCUGAUGUGAAAGCCCACGGCUCAACCGUGGAGGGCCAUUGGAAACUGGGGGACUUGAGUGCAGAAGAGGAGAGCGGAAUUCCACGUGUAGCGGUGAAAUGCGUAGAGNUGUGGAGGAGCACCAGUGGCGAAGGCGGCUCUCUGGUCUGUAACUGACGCUGAGGCGCGAAAGCGUGGGGAGCAAACAGGAUUAGAUACCCUGGUAGUCCACGCCGUAAACGAUGNGUGCUAAGUGUUAGAGGGGUCAAACCCUUUAGUGCUGUAGCUAACGCGUUAAGCACUCCGCCUGGGGAGUACGGCCGCAAGGCUGAAACUCAAAGGAAUUGACNG
rnacentral:rRNA from 1 species